AGCCCCUUUGAAGCAGAGUAUUAUUUCCAGGCGUAGAAGAGAGGCAAGGAGAGCGGUUCAUCACAUAAGUACUCCAUAUAUGCUGGCUGUUUUGAAAAUGGGGAUUGCCACGUAAGAAGUGAAGAGACUUCUGAAAUUGAAAGCAAUCCUCAUCCCACAGGCAGCGAGGAUUUGGUGACCUUAAACCUACAGUUUCAAGGAACUGAACUCUGCUAAGUACCUGAAUGAACUUGGAAGCAUAUUCUUCCCUGGAGCUUCUAGUUGAGAGUCACAGUGAGGACAGGAAGACAGAAUAUUCUAGAUCUGGACAGUCCUGGAGUCUUUGUCAUCAGCUUCUCCAUUGGCCACAGUGAAAAGAUUCUCGAGUCCUCAGGUGCUGUGUGCUUAGUCGCUCAGUCGUAUCUGACUCUUGCGACCCCUUAGACCGUAGCCUGCCAGGCUCCUCUGUCCAUGGAUUCUCCAGGCAAGAACACUGGAGUGGGCUGCCAGUGUGGACAGGUAUUAGAAACAAGCACUAAGCACUGAGUUAUGCUCCUUGCUAAUGUGUUGUUACUUUCAGGCCCUUUGAGUUGACAGAACAGCAACAACAAAAAAACCAUUUGUGUAUUAAGUGGUGUUUGCAUACAUAUCUGCAAAUAUUUCUAUAUGUAUCCAAGGAGGAGAGUAUUUUUAUUUUGUGCCUUCUUGGAUACCAAAUAAAGAGCCACAGACAACACUUUAGGAUUAUGGGUAACUUUGAUUUUUUA